rnacentral:rRNA from 1 species
GUGUCAGCCGCCGCGGUAAGACGUAGGGGACGAGCGUUGUCCGGAUUCAUUGGGCGUAAAGCGCGCGUAGGCGGUUCGGUAAGUCGGGUGUGAAAACACGAGGCUCAACCUCGUGCGUGCAUCCGAUACUGCCGGACUAGAGGUAGGUAGGGGAGAUCGGAAUUCCUGGUGUAGCGGUGAAAUGCGCAGAUAUCAGGAGGAACACCGGUGGCGAAGGCGGAUCUCUGGGCCUUACCUGACGCUCAGGCGCGAAAGCUAGGGGAGCGAACAGGAUUAGAUACCCUGGUAGUCC